ACCGGGAUGGACGUACCGCUGGUGCACCAGUUGUUCCGCCAGGAGCAUGGCUGGGUAGCUACGUACGGACGGGAUAAGCGCUGAAAGCAUCUAAGCGUGAAGCCCCCCUCAAGAUGAGAUUUCCCAGCAUGUAAGACCCCUUGAAGACGACGAGGUAGAUAGGUUGGAGGUGGAAGCACGGCAACGUGUGGAGCUGACCAAUACUAAUCGGUCGAGGGCUUAUCCAAAAA
rnacentral:rRNA from 1 species